AUUGAACGCUGGCGGCAUGCUUUACACAUGCAAGUCGAACGGCAGCGCGGGCUUCGGCCUGGCGGCGAGUGGCGAACGGGUGAGUAAUGCAUCGGAACGUGCCCAGCAGUGGGGGAUAGCCCGGCGAAAGCCGGAUUAAUACCGCAUACGACCUGAUGGUGAAAGCGGGGGACCGAAAGGCCUCGCGCUCUGGGAGCGGCCGAUGUCGGAUUAGUCAGUUGGUGGGGUAAAGGCUUACCAAGGCGACGAUCCGUAGCUGGUCUGAGAGGACGACCAGCCACACUGGGAGUGAGACACGGCCCAGACUCCUACGGGAGGCAGCAGUGGGGAAUUUUGGACAAAGGGGGGAAACCUGAUCCAGCCAUGCCGCGUGCGGGAAGAAGGCCUUCGGGUUGUAAACCGCUUUUGUUCGGGAAGAAAUCCUCUGGGCUAAUACCCCGGGGGGAUGACGGUACCGGAAGAAUAAGCACCGGCUAACUACGUG
rnacentral:rRNA from 1 species